ensembl:rRNA 5S_rRNA 5S ribosomal RNA
AUAUACAGACACACUACCCUGAAUGUGCCUGAUCUCAUCUCAUCUCAGAAGCUAAGCAGGGUCAGACCUGGUUAGCACUUGGAUGGGAGACUGCCUGGGAAUACAGAUUGCUGUAGGCU